UACGUAGGGCGCAAGCGUUAUCCGGAAUUAUUGGGCGUAAAGAGCUCGUAGGCGGUUUGUCGCGUCUGCUGUGAAAGACCGGGGCUCAACUCCGGUUCUGCAGUGGGUACGGGCAGACUAGAGUGCAGUAGGGGAGACUGGAAUUCCUGGUGUAGCGGUGGAAUGCGCAGAUAUCAGGAGGAACACCGAUGGCGAAGGCAGAUCUCUGGGCCGUAACUGACGCUGAGGAGCGAAAGCGUGGGGAGCGAACAGG
rnacentral:rRNA from 1 species